rnacentral:rRNA from 1 species
AGGGUUCGAUUCUGGCUCAGGACGAACGCUGGCGGCGUGCUUAACACAUGCAAGUCGAACGAGGUAUAGCGAGUGGAAGCUUCGGUGGAAACAUGCUAUUACCGAGUGGCGGACGGGUGAGUAACGCGUGAGCAACCUACCCUGCAACGGGGGACAACAGUUGGAAACGACUGCUAAUACCGCAUAAGACCACGAAACCGCAUGGUUUAGAGGUAAAAGGAUUAAUUCGAUGCAGGAUGGGCUCGCGUCCCAUUAGAUAGUUGGUGAGGUAACGGCCCACCAAGUCAACGAUGGGUAGCCGACCUGAGAGGGUGAUCGGCCACACUGGAACUGAGACACGGUCCAG